AACGAACGCUGGCGGCAUGCCUAACACAUGCAAGUCGAACGAGACCUUCGGGUCUAGUGGCGCACGGGUGCGUAACGCGUGGGAACCUGCCCUUAGGUUCGGAAUAACUCCCCGAAAGGGGUGCUAAUACCGGAUAAUGUCUUCGGACCAAAGAUUUAUCGCCUUUGGAUGGGCCCGCGUUGGAUUAGCUAGUUGGUAGGGUAAAAGCCUACCAAGGCGACGAUCCAUAGCUGGUCUGAGAGGAUGAUCAGCCACACUGGGACUGAGACACGGCCCAGACGCCUCCGUGAGGCAGCAGUGUUGGAUCCUGGACCAGCCUCGACAUCCUGAACCAGCAAUGGCGCGUGAGAGAUGAACGACUUAGGGUUGUAAAGCUCUGUUACCCGUUGUUAUAAUGACAGUACCGAGAGAAUAUGCCCCGGCUAACUUCGUU
rnacentral:rRNA from 1 species